AUUGAACGCUGGCGGCAGGCCUAACACAUGCAAGUCGAGCGAGCGGCGGACGGGUGAGUAAUGUCUGGGAAACUGCCUGAUGGAGGGGGAUAACUACUGGAAACGGUAGCUAAUACCGCAUACAAUCAGAUAUGCCCAGAUGGGUUUAGAUGGUAGGGGGGGGAACGGCUCACCUAGGCGACGAUCCCUAGCUGGUCGGAGAGGAUGACCCGCCACACUCGAACUGAGACACGUUCCAGACUCAGACGUGAGGCAGCAGUGGGGAAUAUUGAACAAUGGGCGCAAGCCUGAUGCAGCCAUGCCGCGUGUGUGAAGAAGGCCUUCGGGUUGUAAAGCACUUUCAGCGGGGAGGCGUUACCCGCAGAAGAAGCACCGGCUAACUCCGUGCCAGCCGCCGCGGUAAUUC
rnacentral:rRNA from 1 species